rnacentral:rRNA from 2 species
UGCAGUCGAACGGUAGCACAGAGAGCUUGCUCUCGGGUGACGAGUGGCGGACGGGUGAGUAAUGUCUGGGAAACUGCCUGAUGGAGGGGGAUAACUACUGGAAACGGUAGCUAAUACCGCAUAACGUCGCAAGACCAAAGAGGGGGACCUUCGGGCCUCUUGCCAUCAGAUGUGCCCAGAUGGGAUUAGCUAGUAGGUGGGGUAACGGCUCACCUAGGCGACGAUCCCUAGCUGGUCUGAGAGGAUGACCAGCCACACUGGAACUGAGACACGGUCCAGACUCCUACGGGAGGCAGCAGUGGGGAAUAUUGCACAAUGGGCGCAAGCCUGAUGCAGCCAUGCCGCGUGUAUGAAGAAGGCCUUCGGGUUGUAAAGUACUUUCAGCGGGGAGGAAGGUGUUGUGGUUAAUAACCGCAGCAAUUGACGUUACCCGCAGAAGAAGCACCGGCUAACUCCGUGCCAGCAGCCGCGGUAAUACGGAGGGUGCAAGCGUUAAUCGGAAUUACUGGGCGUAAAGCGCACGCAGGCGGUCUGUCAAGUCGGAUGUGAAAUCCCCGGGCUCAACCUGGGAACUGCAUUCGAAACUGGCAGGCUAGAGUCUUGUAGAGGGGGGUAGAAUUCCAGGUGUAGCGGUGAAAUGCGUAGAGAUCUGGAGGAAUACCGGUGGCGAAGGCGGCCCCCUGGACAAAGACUGACGCUCAGGUGCGAAAGCGU